rnacentral:rRNA from 1 species
AUCGAACGCUGGCGACGUGUUUAAUACAUGCAAGUCGAACGGGGCUUGCGGGGGCUUGCUCCUGCAAGUUUAGUGGCGGACGGGUGAGUAACACGUGAGCAACCUGCCUUUCGGAGGGGGACAACAGUGGGAAACUACUGCUAAUACCGCAUAACAUAUUCUUGUGGCAUCGCAGGAAUAUCAAAGAUUUAUCGCCGAAGGAUGGGCUCGCGUCUGAUUAGCUAGUUGGUGGUGUAAUGGACCACCAAGGCGACGAUCAGUAGCCGGACUGAGAGGUUGGCCGGCCACAUUGGGACUGAGAUACGGCCCAGACUCCUACGGGAGGCAGCAGUAGAGAAUAUUGGGCAAUGGGGGCAACCCUGACCCAGCAACGCCGCGUGAAGGAAGAAGGCUUUCGAGUUGUAAACUUCUUUGACGAGGGACGAAACAAAUGACGGUACCUCGAAAACAAGCCACGGCUAACUACGUGCCAGCAGCCGCGGUAAUACGUAGGUGGCGAGCGUUGCCCGGAAUUACUGGGUGUAAAGGGUGUGUAGGCGGCUUUUCAAGUCAGAGGUUAAAUAUACGGGCUCAACCCGUAUACGCCUUUGAAACUGGAAGGCUUGAGUGUCGGAGAGGUAAGCGGAAUUCCCAGUGUAGCGGUAAAAUGCGUAGAUAUUGGGAGGAACACCAGUGGCGAAGGCGGCUUACUGGACGACAACUGACGCUGAGACACGAAAGCGCGGGGAGCAAACAGGAUUAGAUACCCUGGUAGUCCGCGCCGUAAACGAUGAAUGCUAGGUGUAGGGGGGAUACCUUCUGUGCCGCAGUAAACGCAAUAAGCAUUCCACCUGGGGAGUACGGCCGCAAGGUUGAAACUCAAAGGAAUUGACGGGAGCCCGCACAAGCAGUGGAGUAUGUUGUUUAAUUCGACGCAACGCGAAGAACCUUACCAGGUCUUGACAUCUGCGGAAGGAGUCGUAAUGGACUCUGUGCCCUUCGGGGAACCGCAAGACAGGUAGUGCAUGGUUGUCGUCAGCUCGUGUCGUGAGAUGUUGGGUUAAGUCCCGCAACGAGCGCAACCCUUACGGAUAGUUGCCAGCCGGGUCAAACCGGAGGCACUCUAUACGGACUGCCGUUGACAAAACGGAGGAAGGCGGGGAUGAUGUCAAAUCAUCAUGCUCUUUAUGAUCUGGGCUACAAACGUACUACAAUGGCGCGAACAGAGGGGAGCCAAGGCGCGAGCCGGAGCAAAUCCCGAAAACGCGCCCCAGUUCAGAUUGCAGGCUGCAACUCGCCUGCAUGAAGACGGAAUUGCUAGUAAUCGCGGAUCAGCAUGCCGCGGUGAAUACGUUCCCGGGCUUUGUACACACCGCCCGUCAGGCCAUGAGAGUCGGAGACGCCCGAAGCCUGUGAGCUGACCCGCAAGGGAGGCAGCAGUCGAAGGCGGGGCCGAUGAUUGGGGUU